rnacentral:rRNA from 1 species
CGCUGGCGGCGUGCCUAAUACAUGCAAGUCGAACGGUCUUUUCUAUGGAAGCUUGCUUCCACUGAGAAGAUAGUGGCGAACGGGUGAGUAACACGUGGGUAACCUGCCCAUAAGAGGGGGAUAACAUCCGGAAACGGGUGCUAAUACCGCAUAGUUUUCUUGAUCGCAUGAUUGAGAAAGGAAAGACGGCCUUUGUGCUGUCGCUUAUGGAUGGACCCGCGGCGUAUUAGUUAGUUGGUGAGGUAACGGCUCACCAAGACGAUGAUACGUAGCCGACCUGAGAGGGUGAUCGGCCACAUUGGGACUGAGACACGGCCCAAACUCCUACGGGAGGCAGCAGUAGGGAAUCUUCCGCAAUGGACGAAAGUCUGACGGAGCAACGCCGCGUGAGUGAAGAAGGUUUUUCCGGAUCGUAAAACUCUGUUGUCAGAGAAGAACAAGUUGGAGAGUAACUGCUCCAGCCUUGACGGUAUCUGACCAGAAAGCCACGGCUAACUACGUGCCAGCAGCCGC